rnacentral:rRNA from 1 species
AGCUUGCACAGGUGCUGCAUGGCUGUCGUCAGCUCGUGUCGUGAGAUGUUCGGUUAAGUCCGCUAACGAGCGCAACCCUCGCUGUGUGUUACAAGUGUCACACGGUACUGCCGGUCUUAAGCCGGAGGAAGGUGGGGAUGACGUCAAGUCAGCAUGGCCUUUAUGUCCUGGGCUACACACACGCUACAAUGGCCAACACAAUAGGUUGCUAAGCCGCGAGGUGGAGCCAAUCCUCAAAGUUGGUCUCAGUUCAGAUUGUAGGCUGCAACUCGCCUGCAUGAAGAUGGAGUUGCUAGUAACCGCAGGUCAGCAAUACUGCGGUGAAUACGUUCCCGGGUCUU